UCGGCGUAGGCGACGGCGAGGACGCUGCCGACGAUGCCGUCGGCGAGCGGCUCCCACGCGUCGCCGUUCCAGUGGGCGACGCCGCC
rnacentral:tRNA from 1 species